rnacentral:rRNA from 1 species
UGGGGAAUAUUGCACAAUGGGCGCAAGCCUGAUGCAGCAAUGCCGCGUGAGUGAAGACGGCCUUAGGGUUGUAAAACUCUUUCGCUAGGGAAGAUAAUGACGGUACCUAGUAAAGAAGCCCCGGCUAACUCCGUGCCAGCAGCCGCGGUAAUACGGAGGGGGCGUAGCGUUGUUCGGAAUUACUGGCGUAAAGCGCGCGUAGGCGGACUGAUCAGUCAGGGGUGAAAUCCCGGGGCUCAACCCGGAACUGCCUUUGAUACUGUCAGUCUUGAGUCCGGAAGAGGCGAGUGGAAUACCGAGUGUAGAGGUGAAAUUCGUAGAUAUUAGGUGGAACACCAGUGGCGAAGGCGCCUAACUGGUCCGGUACUGACGCUGAGGAACGAAAAGCGUGGGGAGCAAACAGGAUUAGAUACCCUGGUAGUCCACGCCGUAAACGAUGAGUGCUAGAUGUUGGGAUUUUCGGAUUUCAGUGUCGCAGCUAACGCAUUAAGCACUCCGCCUGGGAGUACGGCCGCAAGGUUAAAA